GACGAACGCUGGCGGCGUGCUUAACACAUGCAAGUCGAACGGAAAGGCCUGCUUUCCCUUGUGGAUUGCGGGUACUCGAGUGGCGAACGGGUGAGUAACACGUGAGUGAUCUGCCCCCAACUUGGGUAUAAGCCUGGGAAACUGGGUCUAAUUCCCGAUAGGACUGCAGGGUGGUGCCUGUGGUGGAAAACGAUUUUCUAGUGGUUGGGGAUGAGCUCUCGGCCUAUCAGCUUGUUGGUGGGGUAAUGGCCUACCAAGGCGGCGACGGGUAGCCGGCCUGAGAGGGUGGACGGCCACAUUGGGACUGAGAUACGGCCCAGACGCCUACGGGAGGCAGCAGUGGGGAAUAUUGCACGAGGGGCGGAAGCCUGAUGCAGCGACGCCGCGUGGGGGAUGACGGGCUUCGGGUUGUAAACUCCUUUCGACCGCGAGGAAGCCACCUGGUUGGAAGGGUGGUGACGGUAGUGGUAGAAGAAGCACCGGCUAACUACGUG
rnacentral:rRNA from 1 species